GAUCCUGGCUCAGGAUGAACGCUAGCGACAGGCUUAACACAUGCAAGUCGAGGGGCAGCAUAAAAGUAGCAAUACUUGGUGGCGACCGGCGCACGGGUGAGUAACGCGUAUGCAACCUACCUAUCAGAGGGGAAUAACCCGGCGAAAGUCGGACUAAUACCGCAUAAAACAGGGGCACCGCAUGGUGAUAUUUGUUAAAGAAAUUCGCUGAUAGAUGGGCAUGCGUUCCAUUAGGUAGUUGGUGAGGUAACGGCUCACCAAGCCGACGAUGGAUAGGGGAACUGAGAGGUUGGUCCCCCACACUGGUACUGAGACACGGACCAGACUCCUACGGGAGGCAGCAGUGAGGAAUAUUGGUCAAUGGGCGGGAGCCUGAACCAGCCAAGUCGCGUGAAGGAAGAAGGAUCUAUGGUUCGUAAACUUCUUUUGCAGGGGAAUAAAGUGCAGGACGUGUCCUGUUUUGUAUGUACCCUGAGAAUAAGGAUCGGCUAACUCCGUGCCAGCAGCCGC
rnacentral:rRNA from 1 species